rnacentral:rRNA from 1 species
CCUACGGGGGGCAGCAGUGAGGAAUAUUGGUCAAUGGGCGCGAGCCUGAACCAGCCAAGUAGCGUGAAGGAUGACUGCCCUACGGGUUGUAAACUUCUUUUAUAAAGGAAUAAAGUGAGGCACGUGUGCCUUUUUGUAUAUACCAGCAGAAAAAGGACCGGCUAAUUCCGUGCCAGCAGCCGCGGUAAUACGGAAGGUCCGGGCGUUAUCCGGAUUUAUUGGGUUUAAAGGGAGCGUAGGCGGGCUUUUAAGUCAGCUGUGAAAGUCCGCGGCUCAACCGUGGAAUUGCAGUUGAAACUGGAGGCCGUGAGUGCACACAGGGAUGCCGGAAUGCAUGGUGUAGCGGUGAAAUGCUUAGAUAUCAUGAAGAACUCCGAGCGCGAAGGCAAGUGUCCGGGGUGCAACUGACGCUGAGGCUCGAAAGUGCGGGUAUCAAACAGGAUUAGAUACCCUGGUAGUC